CGAAUGGCGCAGUGGUAGCGCAGCGGUUUUACACACCGUUGGUCGGGGGUUCGAAUCCCUCUUCGCCC
rnacentral:tRNA from 1 species